GUGGGAGGGGGCUUGCUCCCGAUGACGGUGGGUCAGUUACACAUAGGCUGCCUGACACACUGCUAUCGGGAGCAAGCCCCCUCCCAC
rnacentral:misc_RNA from 1 species